UACGUAGGGGGCAAGCGUUGUCCGGAUUUAUUGGGCGUAAAGAGCGUGUAGGCGGCCAGGUAGGUCCGUUGUGAAAACUCGAGGCUCAACCUCGAGACGCCGAUGGAAACCAUCUGGCUAGAGUCCGGAAGAGGAGAGUGGAAUUCCCGGUGUAGCGGUGAAAUGCGCAGAUAUCGGGAAGAACACCCGUGGCUAAGGCGGCUCUCUA
rnacentral:rRNA from 1 species